UCCGUAGGUGAACCUGCGGAAGGAUCAUUAAAAUAAUACUUACACUUUGCAUUUGCGAACCAAAAAAAGAACUUUACUCUUCGAAUACAUAUAUCAAAACUUUCAACAACGGAUCUCUUGGUUCUCGCAUCGAUGAAGAACGCAGCGAAUUGCGAUACGUAGUAUGACUUGCAGACGUGAAUCAUCGAAUCUUUGAACGCACAUUGCGCCUCGAGGCAUUCCUCGAGGCAUGCCUGUUUGAGCGUCGCAUCCCCUCUAACCCCCGGUUAGGCGUUGCUCCGAAAUAUCAACCGCGCUGUCAAACACGUUUACAGCACGACAUUUCGCCCUCAAAUCAGGUAGGACUACCCGCUGAACUUAAGCAUAUCAAUAAGCGGAGGAAAAGA
rnacentral:misc_RNA from 1 species